ensembl:lncRNA
GUAAGUAACUUGGGCUUGGUUGUUGGCAACAGGUCAUGGAAACAUGAAAUGAAAAAGAAUCAUGAAUGGUUUCAGAGGAGCCCCUAAAAGCUAUAUGUGAAAAGUGUAAUGCAGUUUUCACUGCAGAUUAUAAAUUCCUGGAGGACAUGUACAGUAUCCAAUUUGUCUAUAUUUUACAAGGGUCUUCUUCAGAAAUACAUCUUCUUGGCCAUUGGAACCAAAGAUGAAACUUCCAAAAAAGAUAAAGAUUUUAAAGUAAGAGCCUUUCAAUGGAUCAAAUUCAACCCUGGACAGACCACAGCCAUGUGGAAGGUUCUGCCACAGGCACGAUUCCUUCCACAGUGGUAGCUUUCUCUGACUACAUCUCAUGACCAGCAGACCACAGCAGCAUCCUCCACUUUGAAAAGGAUGAAACUGAGAAGACCUGCCGGGCCCUCAGCUUCGAUGACUCUUUUUAUGAAGAGGAGGAAUAUUUUCACGUGUCCCUGAGCCUGCCAGUGGGAGGACAGCUGGGAGCCAAAUUCCCACCACCAAGGUAAUCAUCCUGGCUGAUCAUGAAGAUGGAAGGAAAGAAAGAGCAAGCACAAAGAAGUUACAUAAGACUUGGAAAGAAGCCAAGAAAAGGACCUGAGUCAAGUUUCCAGAUUCCCAACCAGGACCACUGCACAAGGACUUUUAUCUUGGCAGCACAGGGAUCCUCUCUGAAAACAGUCAGUAGAUGCAUCUUCAACUGGCACAGAUGAGCCAGGCAUGGUGGCACAUGCCUGCAACUUUUGAAAGAAAAUAGUAAUAAAGACAAGACCAGGAUCAGACUAUAUUACUAGUCUCCUAUUGGACUGAUUGCUUCAUCUCUCAACCACGCUUUUGUCAGGACUAGACAGGCUAUGAGUUGCUGUGCUCAGAUCGAGGCAGCAUUAGACUGGCUUGCUAGUCUUAACCCAAAAUUAAUGCAACUACUUUAUGGAUCCAGCAUAGAACUUCCAUAAAACUGAGAGCUCUGUCAAGAGAUAAGCAGAUGGAGUCAAGUUUGAGCAGUAUAUAUGCUCUCAAGGUGCAUGGGGUAAAUUUAUCAUGUAUUAUAAUGUUUUGUUUGAAAUUGUGUCUUUAAAACAACCAUAGAACAAGGGAAAAUAUGAGUAAGGUCAAAAGUGGUUUUUCAUUUGUUUAUUUUUGGCCUGAAUGGCUUUGCUUGGUGAUAAUGUACCCUACACCCUAUGUACCAGACCUUAGAAAUAGGUAGUAGACCAUUAAAAAG